GUCAUUCUCCUGCGUCAGCCUCCCGAGUAGCUGGGACUGCAGGCGCCCGCCACCAUGCCUGGCUAAUUUUUUGUAUGUUUAGUAGAGACGGGGUUUCACCGUGUUAGCCAGGAUGGUCUCUAUCUCCUGACCUUGUGAUCUGCCUGCCUCGGCCUCCCGAAGUGCCGGGAUUACAAGCGUGAGCCACCAUUCCCGGCCCAAAGAGGAGAAGAAGUAUGAAGUGCUUGCUUGGACCUUUCUACUGUGCUUAUUAUUCUGUCUUCUCCUCAUGGCAAGGAUGGGGUCAUGCUUUGUUGUCCAGGCUGGUCUCGUACUCCUGGAAUCAAGGAACCCUUCCACCUCAGCCUCUGAAAGUUCUGGGAUUACAGGCAUAAUUCAUCCUGCCUGGCCAAGAAUCUUUAAUGCUCUGCUCAGGCAACUCUUCCUCUGAGGAUCCUUCCAGUGACAAUUCAAGAAUUAGCGACUCAAUUCCCAGGGUCCCUUAGACCUUCGACCUGCUUGUGGGCAAUUUGGAAACAAGGAUUGUGCCUGAAUCACCUUUGCAUUCCUAGCAUCGUUUUUCCUGGAUAAUAAUUUGUUCAAUAUAUGUUCAAUAAUUGUUCAAUUAUUCAAUAACAAAUGUUCAAUAAAUGUGUGUUAAAUGAAUGACCACAGCUCCUAUAGCAGGUAGCUGACUUUGUGUCUCCUCAACCAAUCUCUGAGCUCUUUGAAACAAAGCCUAUUUUGUUUGAAUGUAAAUUUAUCAUCCCAGUUUCUGGUACAGGGUAGGGAACUAAUGCAUAUGUGGUGAAACAAUCAAUGCCUUAGUGCUUAUGAAGAAUAUCACUGUGUUACACAGAAGCAUGGAAUGACUAAUGUUAAGCUAAACUCAAGUUACUUAGGGAAUAUUAACUUGCAUUUAUUAUACUCUGGGGGAAAAACACAUAUAUGUGUAUAUAUGUAUAACAUAUGUAUGUAUACACAUAUCAGAAUUUGUAUAUGAGAAUGUCUGAUUACUAUCAAAAUACUAUGAUUAAGAAUUAAUUGCAAGACUUUGUAAUUAAAGGUGUCGACACCUCUUAUGUCUCCCUAUUUCUUGUAUUUGGAUUAUCUCUUUCCCUGCCUAUGCUAGAUAUACAAGGUGAUGCCGUGAUUGUGUCUGAUUUAAGCACCAUGACAGUGAUUUGGAGUAACUGUGAAAUUAUUCAUUUUGUGUUUUUUCCAAGCCUUCUGUGUUUCAGUUGCACAGACUGCUCUGACACUGUUAGCGAUGGCAAUCAAAUGCCAGCACAAGAAGCAAGGGGGCACAAAUGAAUCUCCUGAUGAGGUCUAUUUACAGUUCUUGCAGAAUAUUAUACGUUUUUUACUUCAAAA
rnacentral:lncRNA from 1 species